rnacentral:rRNA from 1 species
CAAUAGCGUAUAUUAAAGUUGUUGCGGUAAAAAAGCUCGUAGUUGGAUUUCUACCGAAGAUAGCCGGUCGGGUCUUCGACCUUGUAUCUGGUUUUGUCUUUGGUAUCCUCAUAGGGAACGUUUCUGCGCUUUAUUGCGUGGUGCGGUAUCUAUGACUAUUACUUUGAGGAAAUUAGAGUGUUCACGGCAGGCAAACGCCUUGAAUAUAUUAGCAUGGAAUAAUAACAUAGGAUCUUCGUCCUAUUUUGUUGGUUUCUAGGGCUAAGAUAAUGAUUAAUAGGGAUAAUUGGGGGCAUCUGUAUCAACGCGUCAGAGGUGGAAUUCUUGGAUUGCGUUGCGACAAACUACUGCGAAAGCAUUUGCCAAGGAUGUUUUCAUUGA